AUCUGGAAACCCUAAUUCAUUUCUCAUUGUCGUCUCCUCCAUCUGACCCGUCAAGAGCUCUUUCCCACGUACCAUUCGUUUUUCUUCUUUUUUCUGAUUUCCUGCUUACUUCAUUAAAUCACUCAUUUGAUUAUUUUGUUUCAGCUGCAUUUGAUUUCGUUUCGAUUUCUUAUUUCUUUGUUAUAUUCUUUGUAAUUCUGUUUAGAUUCCUAGUUAAUUUCUUCUUAUUUCUCUAUUUUCAUUUGUUAAUUUCUUCGAUUUAGUUUCAAAAUCAUUAGAUCUGUUUUUUUUUUUUUUUUCAUUUGACAUUGAUGCUUGAUGCUUUAGUGAGUAAGCGUCUCUUUAACAUCACUGCAUCAGUAUAUAUUUGUUGAAAAAAACUACAUAUGAGUAUAUGACUUUGUUCUUGUAAUGAAAAAAACUGCAUAAACAAUUAAAAAUCGUAUUUGUUAGAAACAAAAAACUGCAUAUGAUUUUGUUAUUGUAAUGAAAAAAGACCGCAUAAAACAAUGGCCUUGAAUGGAGGAACAUAUUAUUGGUGGAAGAACUGCUUUGAAGUAUGAACCAUCAUUGAUUAGCCAUUCAAAAAAAAAAAGAUAUGAAAAAGUGUAUGAGACACUUAUGGUUCACAAUUAUUUUGUCUUUUGGCCCCGAAUGGAGAAAGCGUACCAGGCGGAGCGGAUCAAGCGGAUUAUGCGUAUCAAGCAGAACAAAAGCGGAUAAAGCAGAUCUGGCGGUACAAUUGCGGAUCGAGCGGAUCUGACGAUUUAAAAUAGAUGUUUGAAUGGUAAAAGCGGACCAAAUAUUGCGGAUCAUAUUAUAUAAUAUUUAAUUAUGAUUUUGUUUGUAAAUACAGUAAACAUAUUUAUUGUGAAAACUAUAAA
rnacentral:lncRNA from 1 species